AUUCUGAGAAUAAAGUCAGAAUUCUGACUUUAAAGUCAGAAUUCCGACUUUAAAGUCAGAAUUCUGAGAAUAAAGUCAGAAUUCUGAGAAUAAAGUCAGAAUUCUGAGAAUAAAGUCAGAAUUCUGACUUUAUGGCAUGGGGUGGCGGAGGGAAAGUCAGUGUGGUGUGGUUUUGACCAGAGAGGACAUUAUGUCGUCAACGAGUGAGUUUUUGCGUGCCAGAGGAUUGCCGGAGGACAUCAUUUCACACUUGGAGGAGCGGGGAUAAAGUGACUGAUGGAGGGUGCAACUCGACCAGUGCCUGAAAAGCUGGAUUUGGAUGACUUAAUCAAGCUAUGCUUUAGACUUGCAUUCAGCAACAAGGAAAUACUUGCAGUUUUAGCACAUAAUGCUCAGACUAUUAUAAGUAUUCGGACUCUGAAGAAAACUUGUAAAAGACUUGGUCUGUUCCGAAGAAAGAAUCAGUCGGACCUGGGAGAUGUGUUGGCUUUUGUCCAGCAUGAAAUCCUGACUUGUGGCCAGAUGCAAGGUUAUCGCUGGCUUCAUCUACGUGCGAUACAAAAAGGAUUUGUUGUCUCACAAGAUGCAAUAAGACAAAUUAUAAAAUUGGUUGACCCAGUCGGCGUGGAAUUAACAAGAGCACGACGCCUUAGAAGACGCCAGUACAGCUGCAGAGGCCCAAAUGCUCUUUGGCACAUGGAUGGCUAUGAUAAAUUAAAACCCUAUGGGAUUUGCAUCCAUGGUUGUAUUGAUGGGUUUAGCCGGUAUGUGUUAUGGGCAGAGGCCUAUACCACAAACAAUGAUCCCAAGGUGAUUGCAAGUUAUUUUAUCAAAACAGUUUCGCGCAUUGGUGGAUGUCCAGAGAGGAUCCGUGCAGACAGGGACACAGAAAAUGGUUGUGUUGAACAGAUGCAAGUGUUUUUGCGACAAAACCACUGACAAUUUUGCUGGGGAGAAAAGUUUUCUUUACGGGAGAAGUACUGCCAAUCAGCGCAUUGAAGGGUGGUGGUCCAUCCUUUGCAAACAGAGCGCACAGUUCUGGAUUAAUUUAUUUCAAACUCUUCAGGAGGAUGGUCACUACACAGGAGAUUUUCUGGAUAAAAAUCUUAUCCAGUUCUGCUUUCUUAAUCUUGUGCAGGAUGAGCUGGAUGAAGUUGUGAACACAUGGAACUCACACAAAAUAAGACCAAGGUCGAACGGUGAUACAGCUUCAGGCCGGCCAGUCGUCAUGUAUUCAUUCCCUGCCAUGCACAGUGCCGAGGAUCGACUGAAACCCACUGGAAUGCAAGAUAUCACUGCGUGUAUGGAAGAGUGCACUCCAAAAUGCCAGUUUCCUUGCGAUGAAACUGUAUUUGAACUGUGUUGUCUGCUAAUGGAGGAAAAUGAAUGGCACGCUCCAACAGAUCCAUUGCAUGCAAGUGACUUGUAUCUUAUGUUGAGAGAGGAAUUACUGAAGAUUGUUUGACAAGCGUAUUGAUGUAAUACAUAUAAACCCCUCAGAAAAUAAUUUUUCAGUUUUUUUUUAAUAAGUAGUCUGUAUACUCAGUUACUAUGUUUUUUUUAGUCCUACAAUGCCUUCUUGACCUUUAAAUAUUCCUUAAUGACCCAAAUUAAACAGAAUAAUUCAUUGCAAAAUUGAAUUUUCUUUAACUAUGCUUACCGGAUCUAUGGUUAUUCUUUUCCAUUUGUGACUAACAAAAACCAAGAUCUUACAUUUUGCUUGAAAUGUCCUGAACUUGACUGCUUAAAUAUGUAUUAAGUAUUAAUGUAUUACUUGUAUAUUAAAAAUUGUGUCUUUUCAUAGAAGGCAUCUGUACAACAUAAUACUUUAUUUUUAUAUACCAACAUUCAGGUGCAGUCUGGAAAUACAUAGUGGAUGAAGAGUGAGUUUAUUGAAUGCAAUAAAAUAUUACCACUCUUCAUUACAGAA